UGACCGUGCAAAGGUAGCGCAAUCACUUGUCUUUUAAAUGAAGACCCGUAUGAAUGGCAAGACGAGGGCUUAGCUGUCUCCUUUUUCAAGUCAAUGAAAUUGAUCUUCCCGUGCAGAAGCGGGAAUUUUUACAUAAGACGAGAAGACCCUAUGGAGCUUUAGACACCAAGGCAGACCACGUCAAAACUCCCUAAUAAAGGACUGAACUAAGUGGACUCUGCCCUAAUGUCUUUGGUUGGGGCGACCACGGGGAAA
rnacentral:rRNA from 1 species